AUGAUUCUGAACUAUUUAUUGCUGGAAUUAGAGGUUAAGUACCUAAUUUCCAUUUUCUUUCUAGAUGUAUACCUCAUUAACUUUUACAGAAGAGGAGAUACUGAGCUGGACUGGCCCAUUGGUGCAAGCAGCAUGCUGAUAUUUCAGUAUUCCUUCGGCUCAACAGUUCAGAGUACAGUCACAGCAAGAAAAGCAACCCAUGUAACCAUGAGUAGCCUGAGAUUCAUUUCACUGGAUUUCCCAAGAAUUAUAUUUUAAUUUGAAAGGUAAGCCAUGGGUGUUACUUUGCAGGCAUUUUGAAAAGAGAAGGUUACGGUUUCAGGUAAAAAAUAAAAAAAUAAAAAAAAAUGGUAUUUGUAUGAUAAUGAACAGACUGGAAAAUGACAUAAAUACACUUUACAUUUUAAUAGUAAUUACAGGAGACAGUGCAUGCAGUCCUAUUAUGCAAGACAAUGUUUUACUUUAUCUAGUGCUGGACUUUAAUUAGAAUGCAAUGGCUAAAUGUCAGUCCUAAUUUAUUCUCAUAAUUUGUGUGUUCAUUUCUGACAAACAGGAAUAAUCAUGUAUAAAGAAGCACUCAUUGAAACGUGACAGUUUAAAGUUGUGCAACCGUAAUUAAAAGCAAGAAAAAAGGUGUAUGAAUUGAAAUAGACUGCAGUUCAUUUCAGUAACAUGUUGGGGUACUAUCAUCAUGGGCACAUCAGAAAUAACAGUCAUGAUAGUUCAUCUCCUAUGCUCCUUUUUAAUACAACUUCCGUUGCACAUUAAUAAAUCAUGAAAAUUUAUGUUUGUCCUCUGAAAGUUUUUACCUGGAAAUGAUAUGCUAUGAAUACAAUAUUUGUGCUCAUAGAGGACUAUGACUGUUUAAGCAUUUAUGAGUAAAGUAGAUGGUGAUUACAUCUUUCAAAUAAAAGGUGUUGGUAAUUUAAGAUAGCAAAACCCAUAGAACUCAAGUAGAAAUUUACUUCCUGGGGAGAACAGGGAGUAUAUUUUGUGUUUUAGUUUAUUAAAUUUGUUUUUAGACUCCCCAGGGGAAAAUUAGACCAGUGGAUUUCCAGAAUUAUUGAACAAUUACUCAAAAUUAAAAAAUAAAAAAGGAUAUUGUCAAGCAUUGAACUUUUCCAGUUCCUAACACACCAGGUGUAAUGUUAGCCCAUGUAAACCCUUCUAGCUUCACGUACUUGUUUUUUUUCACCAAGACAUUUUUUUCACCAAGAAAACAAAAGUACAAGUCCUGCUACACUCAGAAAUCUGUCUCAGCCAACAUUAAGUCAAUAGUGCUGGACUUCAGUUGCAACAACUUGCAAACUGGAGAAUUAAUAACUAGACUUAAGUUGCCACUGUUCACUAACGAGGCUGGAACGUGACCCGCACACCUAACCAGCCAUGAAUAGAAAAGAAAAAGCAUGAGGCUCAUUUACUACAACUGUCUAACUAAUACAUUUUCUUGAGCACUAAUCCAAAAAAGGAUCAGUGCUGGUGCUGCGGCAGUAUAUCAACUUUCUGCAAGUGUAAGCAUCAGAGUGAACCAAGAGACAGUUUAUUCCAGAGCUGCUUAAAAUUUGUUUUCCUUUUGCUAUAAACUUUUCUAAUGUCUUACUCUGGGACUGGCUGAUAAACCCACAUUAAUCCCCUUGGGGCACUGUAUUUUGUGUAGUUGUAUGAGAUGAGACCAAGGCUUUGUCAGUAUAUUUUAUAUUCUCUUCUUGCAUAUUUUUUGCAUUCCUUUUUCUCUUAAAUCAUUGUUUUGCCAGGAAGAAUUGUGUAUAGCAUAGCUAUCAACAGUAGAAAAUUCUGUGUUGCAGCACAGAUGAAAUGCAGAUAAAAGAGUAGGUGGAACCCAACUCCUUUAAAUACGCUCUUCCAAUCUGGGUAAAAGAGAUGUGCUGUAGAGUGUAAAGCCAAGCUCCUACAAAGUUGUCCCUUGAUCUUUUACUCAUCUAGAAAUAAGAUUAUCUGCCUUGAGUUUCACAGUGUAUAUAACCCCAGCCUAUCUGACUUGGGUGCAAAAGCGUUAAGGAAAAGGCCAAAGAGGAUCCUUGACUGUGACUGUAGCUGUUUAGUUGGCAGUAAGGAUGUAAGUUAAGCUAUGAAAUAAUAAUUUUUUUUUUUUCAAGCACAAACCCUCAUUCCCAUAUGGAUAGACAGAUGUUUCUGAGAAGCAAGCAUAGUAUGGUUGUCUUAUGGUAGCUUAUGCUACCCGAAGUUGGAGUAACAUAUCGUGGUGAAAAAUAUCAAAAAUAUCAAAAAUAUCAAAAUAUCAUAUCAGUAAAUCAUGAGUAACUGUAGUGCAGUUGUUCACAGCUGAGCUGGGAUAAUAGCUCAUUGCUGAUCAUCUGAUUCUCUCUGAGAGAAUGAAUUUGCAACCUAAAGAAAUUACAUACUAUAUGUGAAGACACUUGCAUACUCCAGGCAACGGGCCAUCUUGCAGAAUAAAGCUUUAUCUGUGAGUGCUGCUUCAGGACUGAUAGGUUGUUCUUGGCUCCAGCACAGUGCUGAACACAUGAGUUUUGUGAAGGUAUCCUGGAAACUGAUUCUGACA
ensembl:lncRNA